rnacentral:lncRNA from 1 species
UCCCAUGCCACACACUCUCCCACCUAAACCUAAACCUAGGUCACCUGCCGCCGCCGGCCCCUGACUUGCCGGCCGAUUUGCUCGCGCUACCGCCUCUCCCACCACCAACGGCGCCUCCCAAAGCAGGAGAUCCACCGCGACCGAAGCAGGUCAGGAGGCGGCCCUGGCGCACCUAGAUCGGCCAGCGCCGUCCGACAUCGAGCUCCUCUGCUCCCAGCGCCAGAUCCACCUAUGGCUCCAUCUCCACAACCACGCACCGGCAGCCGCCAUGGAAGGUCUCCUCCCUGCCCCUCUCUCCCCCCGGGCUGUUGGUUAGUUUUGUUUUGGCCGCUCCCCUUCCUGAUGUGGUUUCCUCACGCCCGCACGCAGGUGCUCUAUGUGCUUGCUUCUUCCCUUCCGGGGACGUCGCUACUCUGACGCCAUGGACAAAUGUAAGCAUUUUCUUCUCUCCCCUUCUGUUCGUCUCCUUCCUCUGGCCUGAAUUUGCUUACUGCACAACAGUAAUUAUUUCUUCAGGGGUGAGAAAAGGAGAGGUCCCGCAAUCCAAAUUUCCUUCUCUUGAACCAAUGAAGCACAAUCCUUUGCAGCACCUUAAGUUUCAGACUGAAUAAAUUAUGUUGGCCACCUGUAUUUGGAAAAUUUACCCGAUGUAGUAUGUACAUUUAGUUUCCUAGAAGGCCAUUGUGCUUGUCGUUAAUUAGCAACUCACAUUCCAAAAGUGCCGGUGGGAAAUUGUGAAAUUAAUAUUGCAGUUUGCAUCUUUGUACAGAACAUGUUAUAAGGUCAAUAUUAACACUAAAAGUUGGACUCUGUAUGUAGUGUAUGGGAAGUUUUAAAUGAUUGUGCGAAUUUGUUUUUCCUUCGGUUGUGCCUCAGAUUUCACAAUCAUUAUUUAUUUAUUUUAGAGACUAAAAAAUGAAGAGAGAGAUUAUGGGGUGUGGUGGCCAUUAGUUGCUUCCGUUGUAUGUUGACCUACUUGCCUUUCCUUUUGUUAUACAUGCAGCCCAAAUUUACGGGGGGUGUUAUAUAGCUUGGCAACGGAUUAUAUUGUAAACCAUCUGCUAGUUUAUUCCUCGGCUUGUCUAAGAUUGUUGUUAUUGCUUCAGAGUUCAUAUCAAACAUAUUUCCCUUUUGAUAAUUUGGACAUGUUAUUUCCUGAGUGCUAGCUCUAAAACAGGACAUGCAUUUCCGUAACAGCUCCAAACUCUGACAAUUAAUUUGCACAAUAAAGUAAUUAAUGAUAAACCAAUUUAAUAUUUUUUUCUUUUUCUGCGCUACUUGUAUCGAUGUUGCUUCAGUUUCAGAAUUUCAGUCACGUGUUUGUAUCUAUCUAUGUACCAAUUAAUGGAUUCAACUCUUGUGCCACAGGAUUACAAAAGGUUGAUGCAAACCAGCUCCAGAAUGAGCUCAAGGCAUAGAGGAAGAAUGAGGAGGAGGAGAUGAGCACACUUCUGAACCACUACCUCCAUUUCUGUGCAGUUCUAGAAGGAGCUCAAACAUAUUUCUCAUGCCUCUGAAUUUCCUUUUUCUUGUACUGGAUAUCUUCUUGUUCUUUCACUCCUGACCAGUAGACUUCUAAUCUAGGUGCUCAUUAUUUCUACUUGUUUGUUGUCUCAGGGAUCACAAGUUUAAUGUUUACUAAAUCAAGAAACCUUCUGAAUCUGCUAACAUAGCCUCCAUUUACUCUCUGCUCAAGUCUGUUUGUGGCAUAUCUUAUUUUAACUUCUGUUUUAGUCUGCUCAAGUGGAGAUCUCCGUAAACUUCAGAAAUCAUAGUCACGAAAUUGUAGGGAUAAAAGGGGUAAUGGAAAAUUGCAUUUCUCUAGUCUCAGUUUGUUCUUCCUUGGCGCCCUACUAUUUACGUUUUUUUCUAUUUGGUAUGUAUAUUCGUAAUGAAUGUCCACUUCUCCUAUCUAUAUUUUCAUAACUAUGUUUCCUAAUUAUACUACUAAUUCACAUGAAGUUGCUUGGUGGAUAGUGCAGUUUUAACCUGCUGCUUCUCGAUAAAAGUUGUUGACAUGAGGCCCUCUGGGGAAGUAGGCGGCUCGUCCCAGCCUAAGUUGCGCGGAUACUUCAAAAGGCGGGCGUAUCCAGCCGGAUACUGCCCCGAUACUGCCCGAUACGUAUUCCGUAAGUAUCCCUCGAUUUUCUGAUUUUAAAAAAAGAAAAUAAUGUUUGAUACUCCUAGGAUACUUCUGCGAUACUUUUUGGAUACCUGAAACCCCUCGUUCGACGUGAAAUCCCCUCAAUAGUAAAGGCACAUCUUUUGAAGAUACCCAACACGGGUGUGAGUUCAUGCCAAAACAUGACUGUCAAUGUUCUUGUUCAAUUGAAAGGUGAGCAAGAGAGAGUCGAUGCACUGAUUGGAACCAAAAAACCCGGGAAAAUCCCACUGCUAAUUAAUGAAAGUGGACCAAGUGCAAGAAAACAAAGGGAAUAAUCCUAUUGAGGCAUGCUUUGACCUAGAAGCUCUAUUUUGUUUUCAAUAUUUUUAAUAAUUAAUAUAUGUAAUAUCUAUAUAUAAACGUAUCGCUGUAUUCAUGUUUUUAAAAAAUUGACGUAUCGGGCGUAUCCCCGUAUCGGGUAUCCGAUACGUAUCCAAGUAUCCGUGCAACGUAGGUCCCAGCGAGCCAAUAAUUAAGUUUAUUCGGAGUUGUCAUUGCUAAGUGUAGCUGGCAUCAAGAGCUAUGCUCGUAGCAGGCAUGAAUUGGUAAACUCAAGCACCUCUUUUUGAAAGUUAUGCAUCCGAUUAGUUGGUUUUCUAAUUAUUAAGGAAAAAAAUUGUUGCAGGCUGAAGAACUUGGCUAUGACAUGCAGAGAGAUGAAAUAUUUGUCAGAGCACAUACACGUAAAAUUGGAGUUCCUACCGCACAAGCGGAGACACUAAUUGUUAGUCACACAUACACAUCAUGUGUUUUUCUUUAGUACAGCCAUGCACGCGACUGCAUAUUAAUCGAUGACAAGUAUACAUUGCACUGACUUCAUUGUAGAAAUAAAUUAGGUGCCUCAUUUGCUCUAUUUUUUUGCAGAAACAACCUGAAGAAGCAGCUGAACCACCAACAACACUUGCAAUGGAAAUUCAAUUUCAUCGACAAGAUGAACAAGUUUCUACUCUACUAGGGUGAACCAUCAAUUUCAUCAAUAACUAAACACAUGUAGUGCAGUUUGUAGUGUCAUUAUAAAUAGAUGAUGCAUGAGGCUACUAGAGUAUCUAGUUUCUAUCGGAAAUAGAUAAGAAUUAAGGGCACGAUAAGGUGAUACUAAAUCUGGGCUAUAGUAGAACAUAGAAUGUUUGGUUUCUACGUUUAUACAGGGCCGUCCAAAGGCCUAUGCGGGCUGUGCGACCGCACAGGGCCCCCAAAUUCCAAGGGGCCCCCGAUUUUGGGCCAGUGUCUAGUGUAUUUUUCGUGUUGGGCCCUUUUAUCACAACUAGCACAGACAUAGGCCUGCCCAGCUAGUCCCUGACUCUCUCAAAUUGGGCCAGCCCCUCAAUCUCCCAAAAUAAGCCUUUCCUUAAUCCCGAUCGACACAGCCCGCCGAUCGCGAUCUAUCGAUCUAGCCCCGCGCGGUCUGCUCGGAAGAGAAAAAAGGGCCCUCACGGAGCUGAACCGACAAAGUGCGGCGGCGGCGGCGGCGCACGGAGACGGAGCGUCGUUGUCACUUUGCUUCCUGCCCGGAGAAACAACCCGCUGCACUGCCCGCAUGAAGAAUUCAUUCCACAGUUUUUUUUGUCGCCGGUAUCCGAUCCGAGGCCUAGGUGAGGACAUCCGCGAUCUGUCCACAAGGUGUGCUCAAACUGAUUCCCUAUUUACUUUAGUAUUUUGUCCUGUUGAAUGAUUAGUGUGCAUACGCUUCAGUUUAUCAAUCCAUUUGUUUAGAGAAGAUAUAUAAUACUACUAGGCUAGUUGACCAAGUUGUCACACACCAAUUUCCAAGCUAGUUGCUCGUUUCAAAUUUAGAGUACAGUUUUUUUAUCUUGGUACUGUAUAAGCCUAUAAUUUAUGGAGUGUUUGAAUUCAUUCUUUUUUCUUUUUAUAAGAAAACAUCUAUUCUAGAAUUUUUAGGGCCUUAUUUUGCAUUUCGCACCGGGCCCCCAAAUUCCUGGAGACGGCCCUGCGUUUAUAUGUGUGCAACGCAACCGCCAUUGUCAUGCAAAUAGUACGCAGGCUAAAUGUGUGAUUUAGUACGCAAGCUAAACUGAAUGUUUGCUUGCAUAUUUGUUCAAAUACGGUCAGUGGUACAAUUGUUUGUCAGUGUGCAAUUCCUAGUAGCUAAACUGAAGCUUGCUCUCUCUUAAAGAUCAGCCACAAAAAAAAUACUUGACCAUUAUUUUUCUGCGAAGCAUAUUUAGUUCAGUCCACAUGUUAGGAUUACACCUGACUCCUUUUUUAGGUAAACAUAGGUGUCGUAGCCUAUUGCAGUAUCUGUUUAGUUUUAGGAUUUUAACCAUAGCAGAAAACAACAUAUGCGAACCCCUAUUGUAUACCACAAAAUGUUUCAUAGCAUGCAUGAACCGCAACACAAGCGAUGUCUUUUGAAUUGACUUGUUUUCACCAAGUACACUAUUACAUAUAUGACUGCUGGUACAUGUAUAUGUAAUAAUGCUUGUUUCUUAGACCUUUGGACUCGAAGGCAACUCAUAAAUUUGAAUACAUUGUAUUAUUUCAAAGAUUGCUGAAACAUAUGAGUUCUUUUGUAGGGACAAAUGGUAGAAAGUAGCAAGUCCACUGGCUGAUUGAAGAUGUUCUCGAGAUUGCUUUUGUUGAGAACAUGGAUGGCACAUUUUGUUCAUACGGAAGUUGAUUUGGUUUGGCAAUUGAAGAGUUGGUCUUCCAUAAUAUUCUGUAGCAGUAGCAGUCCAGUGAACAAGCACUUGGUCUCUUAUGAACUUUGGCCAUUAUGUUUGUAACAUGCCUCUCUUGUAUAUGUGACUUGUGCAUUUCCAUAAUGGUUGUAGCUAACUUGAGUGAAGAAAACUAAUGAAUCUUCUAUAUAUAUUGAAUGAACACAUUGGUCAACGAUAUCUUGUGAUGAAUAGAAGAGUGCAAUUGUUUGUAU